GUCUAGCCAUCUUGGUGCCGAAAAGUUUUUGACAUACUCUACCGCUUUUGCGUAAUUGUAUUGACGAAAACGUUUCGUUCGGAGCCAAGCGGCAAUACAGUACCGCAAAGUCGACAGCGUAGCUCCGAGCUGCUGUUCGUUGCACCUUGUUCCAUCAUAUUGUCUCUGGACUCUGGAUGAAAUGUAUUUCUUAUGUCACUUUAAUAAACCUAAAGUAAAUACUUUACACCAUUAUUGUGAAUUUGAAAUAGAAAGCUGCAAAAUAGACUUAAGAAUGUGAGCAAGAUCGAAAUAAUUUUCGAUGUACGUAGUCGUUAUAAACAGAUGCAAAGUGACAUACUAUAUGAAUUUAAAUGGAUUUGGUCUCACAACAACUAAUCUGCAAAAUGAAGAAGCAACACAUUUAGUGCUUUAAAGCAACAAUGGAAAUAGUACUGCGGAUUGAUAAAUAGAGGAAAAGAAGAUUGAUUAGCAGUUGAUUUGUUCCAAGGUAUUGAAAAAAAUGUGAAAAAAAAAACACACUAGUGUCAACACUGAAAUUAGCGUUUGAUUAAUGCUUUAAUUGGGUUUGCUGCUUGAACAUUAUCAAUUUGAAUGCAGAUUUUGAGUUAAUAUAUAGUAGUAAUAGUACCAGCAGCAGCUUCUAAAUAAAAUUAAACAAGGGAUUAAUAAAGAUUAUAUUAUAAUAGAAACUUAGUCUGGUAUGAAAUUAUGACCCUUAAUUAACUUUUGAUUUGAAUUUGGUGUUCCAUCUUGUUAGAUAUAAAUUUAAGUAUGAUUGAUGCCGAUUAUAAGUAAGGUAACAUUUACAUCAUUUAACUUUUGUUUAUAUCAGAGAUUUGCUACUAGUUAAUACAUAUGUGAAAGCAAAUCAAGUUUAAGUAAGGAAUGAAUAAAAGUUAUAUUUGUAGUA